rnacentral:rRNA from 1 species
CAGGCCUAACACAUGCAAGUCCAACGUGAAAGGGGAGCAAUCCCCCGGUAGGGUGGCAAACGGGUGAGUAAGACAUGGGUGAUCUACCUUAGGGAUGGGGAUAUCCUUCCGAAAGGAGGGGCAAUACCGAAUAUUGUCCGGGACCAUGAAGGGUUCCGGGGAAAGGGAGGCCUCUGAUACAAGCUUUCGCCUUAAGAUGAGCCCAUGGCCCAUCAGCUAGUUGGUAGGGUAAAGGCCUACCAAGGCUACGACGGGUCGCUGGUCUGAGAGGACGACCAGCCACACUGGCACUGAGAUACGGGCCAGACUCCUACGGGAGGCAGCAGUGAGGAAUAUUGCGCAAUGGGGGAAACCCUGACGCAGCAACGCCGCGUGUGGGAAGAAGGCCUUCGGGUCGUAAACCACUUUUACUCGGGACGAAAAAGGGAUAUCAAAUAAAUAUCCCCGAUGACGGUACCGUGAGAAUAAGCCACGGCUAACUCUGUGCCAGCAGCCGCGGUAAGACAGAGGUGGCAAGCGUUGUUCGGAAUUACUGGGCGUAAAGAGUCUGUAGGUGGUUUGUCAAGUCUUUGGUGAAAGGCCGUAGCUUAACUAUGGGAAUGCCAAAGAGACUGGCAGGCUGGAGGCUGGGAGAGGGAAGCGGAAUUUCUGGUGUAGCGGUGAAAUGCGUAGAUAUCAGAAGGAAGGCCGGUGGCGAAGGCGGCUUCCUGGGAACAGUCCUGACACUGAGAGACGAAAGCGUGGGGGAGCAAACAGGAUUAGAUACCCUGAUAGUCCACGCCCUAAACGAUGGGUACUAAGUGUGGAGGGGUUAAACCCUCCGUGCCGCAGCAAACGCAGUAAGUACCCCGCCUGGGGAGUACGGCGCAAGGUUGAACUCAAAGGAAUUGACGGGGCCCGCACAAGCCGUGUGCAUGUGGUUUAAUUCGACGCCACGCGAGGAACCUUACUAGGCUUGACCAUGGUGUCAGUAGCGACCGAAAGGGAGCGACCCGUCAUCGCCAAUCUCCCGGGG